CUAGUGUUGGACACCGAAUAGGCUAAGCUCCUGUUGGUUAGCAGCUGCUAUAUAUAUGUACCUAUAGCCCCUGUAAUCCAAUUGUGUUGCGUGCUAUGUAUUGCUGCUAGCUAUUAGUAGAUCGAUUACUAGAUCAAUUCCGGCUACAAGCAGAGUACGUACAGAAAAUCGAUCAGGAGCAGAACGGCCUUUGCACUGCGUAGGUGGAACGAUCAGAGGAGACAGGAGACAUGGCUAUGCUGCUAUACGAAGCACCUACUGGCAUUGCAAUUUUCUCUUUUGAUGGGGACUACCUCAAUGAUCAGGUGGAGAACUUCUGGGAAUACCUACCACCGCUUAAUCUGGAGGAAUUCAUAAAAAAUGAGAUGGUGCCUUCCCCCAUUGACACCACGAACAAAGCUAUUGAUGAUCACCUAGCCAAGAGGCUCACUAAGCUGUGUUGUUCUGAGAAAGAAAUUAGUUGUGGGGAAUGAUGAAUAUAAAAGAAUAAUUGAAAUGAACCUGAGAAUAACAUGUCUGCAUGUUCAUGUUCCGGAUUGUGAGGUGGUAAUUUGCAGUCUGAAGAAUCCCAUGUAUACUUUAUUGCCUAGAAAACUAUCAAAUCCUGAUGAAGAUUUAAUAUUCUUCUUAAAGCAACAUUUCAUUGGUUGCAAGCCUGAGAUGGUGAGCUUACCGCUUGUCAUUCCUUAU